GACGAACGCUGGCGGCGUGCUUAACACAUGCAAGUCGAACGGAAAGGCCCUGCUAUUGUGGGGUGCUCGGGUGGCGAACGGGUGAGUAACACGUGAGUAACCUGCCCUUGACUUUCUGAUAACUUCAGGAAACUAAGGCUAAUACCGGAUAGGAGCUCCUGCUGCAUGGAGGGGGUUGGAAAGUUUCGGCGGGUGGGGAUGGACUCGCGGCUUAUCAGCUUGUUGGUGGGGUUGUGGCUUACCAAGGCUUUGACGGGUAGCAGGCCUGAGAGAGUGACCGGGGACAUUGGGACUGAGAUACGCGGCAGAGUCCUACGGGGGGCAGCGGUGGGGAAUAUAGUACAAUGGGCGGAAGCCUGAGGCAGAGCCGCCGCGUGCGGGAUGACGGCCUUCGGGUGGUAAAAAGCUUUCGCCUGAGACGCAGCGUGAGUGACGGUAAUGGGUAAAGAAGCACCGGCUAACUACGUG
rnacentral:rRNA from 1 species